rnacentral:rRNA from 1 species
GAAUCUUGGGCAAUGGGCGCAAGCCUGACCCAGCCAUGCCGCGUGUGUGAAGAAGGCCUUCGGGUUGUAAAGCACUUUCAGUAGCGAAGAAAAGCUUAGGGCUAAUAUCCCUGAGUCUUGACGUUAACUACAGAAGAAGCACCGGCUAACUCCGUGCCAGCAGCCGCGGUAAUACGGAAGGUGCGAACGUUAAUCGGAAUUACUGGGCGUAAAGCGCGCGUAGGCGGUUCGACAAGUGGGGUGUGAAAGCCCAGGGCUUAACCCUGGAACUGCAUUCCAAACUGUCGGACUAGAGUAUGGUAGAGGGAGGUAGAAUUUCCUGUGUAGCGGUGAAAUGCGUAGAUAUAGGAAGGAAUACCGGUGGCGAAGGCGGCCUCCUGGACCAAUACUGACGCUGAGGUGCGAAAGCGUGGGGAGCAAACAGG